CGCUUACGUCAUUCACCUGCUGUGCCCAACUUAGUUUGCAGUCGUUGCAGGCCAUGGGACAGCAUGCCACGAAGGAAAUCCUUACGGGAUACAAAAGUGCCAAUUCAAAUUCGACGCAAAACUAAAGCAGCAAUGACGCUGACUCGGGUAAAACCGAACUUGAAACCGGUUUGUUUACGUUUCCGCUGGUCGAGAAACUAAACAACGAGAGAUCAAGUCCGGUGCUAACCCUUGGACAGGCUUCGAUGAAUUGCAGCCAUUUACAUGCUACCGGAAGUGAUCGUUGCCACGCCAGUUCGAAACUGCCAGCGGUACAAGCAAUACUAUGUGUUGACAAACAGGACCGUCUUUUCGAGACGGAUUUCGGCGAACAAAUAGUCCUGUGCAACGCUGCCGAAGCUGAGGGUCGAUAUUGCGAAAGCUAGUUGAGUGAUCCCGCACUGAUCCGGUUGCGUUGGGUUUAAAAUUUGUUUACUGUAGGUCAGUCGAACGACAUACCAAUCAUUUGCUCCGCGAUUCCGAAGAACGACCAAAAUUUUUUUGCCGGGCGCAGCGUCACGUUGCAUCGAUUUCUCUAGUGAGUAGAGAACCCGAAACGGAAUAUGGAAAUCAAAUUUAAAGUCAAUUAUAGGAAAGCAAUUAACUAUUAUAGACCCCCAGGACUAUAGUGGCCUCUACAGUGUCUUCAUUUCGAAUGGUUCAUAACUACGAUGCCAACUACAAAGGAACUGUAAGUCGUGUUCCUGGUCGUUCACUUUUCCUGCUGCGCAUCUCACCUUUCCAUUCCCCUCAAAUCAAACACCAUUUUCGCCGAGUUACAACUUUUAAUGCUGAUAAAAGUUUGUAAUAAUCUAUUCUGAGUCAACAACAACAUGCACGGUAACUUUGAAACAACUAUUGAAAAAUCUGAAUGGGUUUCCUGAAUACAGUCACGACAUGUUCUACCGAGCAAUAUACCGGGAUGAAUGAGCCGGUUAAAGCAAUCACAAUUGAAAAGGAUCGGUUGCAUUGAUGUCUUGAAAUUCCUAGAGGAUGUACCGGAUGUAACGACACCGAACGUCAAACCAAAAUCUACUGACUUAACAGGCGUGUCCGUUUCCGUGAAGCGUCCGUUGGACGCCAUGGACCGGUGAAUGGAUACGACUGUUAUAUACUGCAGAGGCCACUCCGACAUUAGGUUGAAUGAAACAUAUAAUGCUGCCACGAAUAUACCCCUCUCUGUGUGAAAAGAAGACCGUUGAUGUAGCAAAACCGUCAAGCGUUA